GGAGGGGUGGCAGAGCGGUCGAAUGCACCGGUCUUGAAAACCGGAGACGGGCGACCCCCGUCCGCGGGUUCGAAUCCCGCCCCCUCCG
rnacentral:tRNA from 1 species